rnacentral:rRNA from 1 species
UACGUAGGGGGCUAGCGUUGUCCGGAUUUAUUGGGCGUAAAGAGCGUGUAGGCGGCCAGGUAGGUCUGGUGUGAAAACUCGAGGCUUAACCUCGAGAUGUCAUCGGAAACCACCUGGCUAGAGUCCGGAAGAGGAGAGUGGAAUUCCUGGUGUAGCGGUGAAAUGCGCAGAUAUCAGGAAGAACACCAAUGGCGAAAGCAGCUCUCUGGGACGGUACUGACGCUGAGACGCGAAAGCGUGGGGAGCGAACAGG